rnacentral:misc_RNA from 1 species
UCAAACAAAUUUCCGAGUCUACAAAUUACCUAUCGAAUCUCCCACUACCUGCAUUUCACAUCGACGUACAACCCGUCCACAAAAUUUCUCACUGCUAAGAGGAAGAUUCUUGUCGGACGCGGAAGAUCCACGCGAAAUCAUUCGCGAAGAUGCGUAUAUUCGGUUCGAAGAGAGAGAUAGAGAGAGUAGAAGUCGAGCUUUCAGCCUCGAGAGCUUUAAGCUUGCUUGGGGACGAUCAUUUUUAAUCACGCGGAGACGGAGGGCUAGAUAGAGGGAGGAAAGAACGGGAGAGUAGCGGCGCGUGUACCUGUGUGCAGGCGUUUUGUGCUCCCUCCUUUGUCGCAAGGGCGGCAUUGUUCUCACGAUUCUAUAGGAUCGCAGUGUCGGGGUCCUCCGCGAAUUGUUUUCUUCGCGAAUCCUGUACAAGCUUUCUCUCUAUCUCUGUGUAUGUCCUAGACACGAUUACGUCCACUUUCCUGGGGAUUACGGUGCCUCGCCUUUGAGAAAUAGAGUUUUCGUGGCCCUUUCGUUAUACACGCGUAUCUCUCUCCAAGGUCUUGUAAAUUUUCGUGUAAAAGGGAAUUGUAGGUAGGUACAGGAAGUUCGUGUUGUAUGUCUGUUGUAUUGUUCAUAGUCAAAACGAGUAGGAAUUAUGUAACAGAAUAGUUGACGCAGAGUAGAAUUUAACCCCUUGUUUCAUGAUUUUCUUUUAGCAGCUGAAGUAAACGUUAAUACGGUGUUAAGUGAACAUUAUCGAAAUCAUAUCGAACAUCUCCAAAAGGAAAUUAGAAUAGAUUCAAAGAUACACGAAUAAAGUUAAUACAGAGCUAUUUGUGAAAAC